GUGUCUCGGGGCCCUCUGGGAAAUGUUGUUCUUUCCGCAAAGAGGCCGAGGCGCAAAGCGUUCUGGGGCUCGUGGUCCGCGUGGUCGGAAGGAGAAGCUGAGUCGUUAGUGCAGGUUCCUGCAGCUGGAGUUUACCCAGCGGAGCUCGGUGUCCCGCGCGCCUCAGUCCCCGCCCCGCUCCGCCCCGCAGGGGAUUCUGGGAGGCGACGUCGCCGGUCUCGGGUCGUUGGGCGUGUUUCCAGAGCCAGCGGCGCUGGGAGAGUGAAGAAAUGUUGGCUCUGAGAAGACAAGGAACUUGUUUCAGGCUGUGCAGUUUCUUAUUGGUUUGGUAUUGAAAUUUGUCAAUGUUUGCCUCAGGCUGAAUUUCUGUGGAGUAAUAGAGGUAACACCUGCCACCUCCGAAUAUGCUUCUCUGAAAAACAUAUAGCAUUGAUUUCUCAGGUUAUGCUGAAUAUUUCCCAUACAAACAUUGUGGUCUCUUGAAAGAGGACCAGUUUUUGAGCCACACUGCAGUUUGACUCUUAUGACUUUGAGUUAGCUGUUUAAGCUUUUUGAACCUCAAUUUCACUUGGUGGUAAAAUGGGGAUAAUAAUACCUACCUUUGCAGUUUUGUGAAGAUUAAAUAAGAUAAUGACAUACACAACAUGUGUAACAUUGCUAUUUAUAUUACAGGAGCCACAGUAAGAUUUAUUUAUUUGUUUAUCAAAUAUGUUUUUAGCACUUACAGUGGUUCUGGCAUUAUUCUAGCACUAGAGAUAUACCAGUGAACCCAACAAAUCCUGGCUGUCUUAAAUCUUAUACUGUUGUUUGGGAAGACAACAGUUAACAGAAAAAAGAAAAGUAACAUGUCCAAUGAUGUUAAAUGCUAAGAAGAAAAAUAAAUCAAGAUAAGGAAAAAUAAUAACUGGGAGGGAGAUUCCCUUUAGGUAGAAUAGGGAGGUCCCUCCAAUGUUGUUAACAAUUGAGCACAGAUAAGAAUGAAGAGAGGGAAUGUGCUGUGUCCAGGCAGAAGGAAAAGCCAAGGCCACAGCCUUGAAAAAGGAGUGUGGACAAUGUUUGAGGAACUAUAAGGAAACCUGUAUGCCUGGAGUAGGGUGAAUAAGGGGGAGAAGAGUGGGAAAUGAGGUCUAAGGGGCAGCCAGGGCUAGAUCAUAAAUUGUCUUAUUGGUGAUAGGAUGGACUUUAGAUUUUGUUGAGUUCAGGCUGUGUGUCUUUAAUAUCAGUCAGGAGUUCAGGGGUUAAGUUCAGCUUUGGCCUUUUUUCUCAGAUCUUGGGACAGGGUAGGGCUGGUCCAUGUAAAGAAACUAGAGACCAUAAAGGGGCAAAAAACUCUGUGAGUCUCAGAUCAGCAACAUAGGGCUGCUCUGCCAUUUUUUUUCUUGUUUAACUCUCCCUUCUCAGGACUUUGUUCUCCAAAAGAGAAAAUUGAAGAAGGAAGGAAGAAUGGCUGUUGGACUAUGUAAA
rnacentral:lncRNA from 1 species